GCCCUCGUAGCCCAGUGGUUAGUGCACUGGUCUCGUAAACCCAGGGGUCAAGAGUUCGAUUCUCUCCGGGGGCA
rnacentral:tRNA from 1 species